GGGAAGGUAGCUCAGUGGUAGAGUGCUUGCCUUACAUUCAUGAGGUCCUGGGUUCAAUUCUCAGCACCA
rnacentral:tRNA from 1 species